rnacentral:ncRNA from 1 species
AGGAUAGAGGUUGCGAAACUCAAGAGUAGCAAAGGGUGAAAAACGGUAGGACACCUGCUCUUUGCGAAAGGGAUUUUCGCCGAAGCCGCAGACAGGUCCUGAUGUCUGCGAGCUGGGACGCAGGAGAAGAUUCUGCGGACUGUCACUUCGGUGGAGGACUAUCUU